rnacentral:rRNA from 1 species
GACGAACGCUUGCGGCGUGCUUAACACAUGCAAGUCGAACGAAGUGGCGAACGGGUGAGUAACGCGUAAUCAACCUGCCCUUCAGAGGGGGACAACAGUUGGAAACGACUGCUAAUACCGCAUACUGAAGGAGGGGAUUGCGUCUGAUUAGCUGGUUGGAGGGGUAACGGCCCACCAAGGCGAUGAUCAGUAGCCGGUCCGUGAGAAAGAACGGACACAUUGGAACUGAGACACGGCCCAGACGCCUACGCGAGUCAGCAGUGGGGAAUAUUGGUCAAGGGGCGAAAGCCUGAUCCCGCCCUGCCGCGUGUGGGAAGAAGGGCUUCGGAUUGUAAAGCACUGUAAGUUGGGAGGCGUGACCAACAGAAUAAGCACCGGCUAACUUCGUGCCAGCAGCCGCGGUAAUUC